rnacentral:lncRNA from 1 species
UGAUUUAAGCUUAGUUUGCUAUAAAAUUAUUUAAACUAACACCCAUACCACAACCUUUACCCCUUCAAGGCAAACUUUUCAUUUAGAAUCAUUACCUUUUCCGAUCAUCCCCAGGCUAUAUUAGUUAUUAUUCAACACUUAGGAACCUAGCCCAUCGUUGGGCUUAAUAAACACAAAAUUUAAAGAAUAAGAAGAUAUAUAGAAUAAAGAAGUACCUUGCCAAUAAGGAUCUGCAAAAAUCUUGUACUUUUAUUUAUAUUUCAAAGAUGUACAAUAAUAUUACAAC